rnacentral:rRNA from 1 species
AAUAUUGGACAAUGGGGGCAACCCUGAUCCAGCCAUGCCGCGUGUGUGAAGAAGGUCUUCGGAUUGUAAAGCACUUUAAGUUGGGAGGAAGGGUUUUAUGCUAAUACCCUGAAGUUUUGACGUUACCAACCGAAUAAGCCCCGGCUAACUCCUUCCCAGCAGCCGCGGUAAUACAGAGGUUGCAAGCGUUAAUCGGCAUUACUGGGCGUAAAGCGCGCGUAGGUGGUUCAGUAAGAUGGGCGUGAAAUCCCCGGGCUUAACCUGGGAACCGCUUUCAUAACUGCUGAGCUAGAGUACGGUAGAGGGUAGUGGAAUUUCCUGUGUAGCGGUGAAAUGCGUAGAUAUAGGAAGGAACACCAGUGGCGAAGGCGACUACCUGGACUGGUACUGACACUGAGGUGCGAAAGCGUGGGGAGCAAAC